UACGUAGGUGGCGAGCGUUGUCCGGAUUUACUGGGCGUAAAGAGCGCGCAGGCGGUCGUACAAGUCGCGUGUGAAAGCCCCCGGCUCAACUGGGGAGGGUCACGCGAUACUGUUCGACUCGAAGGCAGGAGAGGGUAGUGGAAUUCCCGGUGUAGUGGUGAAAUGCGUAGAUAUCGGGAGGAACACCAGUGGCGAAGGCGACUACCUGGCCCAUUCUUGACGCUGAGGCGCGAAAAGCUAGGGGAGCGAACGGG
rnacentral:rRNA from 1 species